rnacentral:rRNA from 1 species
UACGUAGGGGGCAAGCGUUGUCCGGAUUUAUUGGGCGUAAAGCGCACGCAGGCGGUUUAGUCAGUCUCUACUGACAGUGUCCGGCUCAACCGGGCAAGUGGUAGGGAAACUGCUAAACUUGAGGGCUUCAGAGGGAUGGGGAACUCCAGGUGGAGUGGUGAAAUGCGUAGAUAUCUGGAGGAACACCGGUGGUGUAGACGGCUCUCUGGACCGUAACUGACGCUGAGACACGAAAGCGUGGGUAGCAAACAGG